rnacentral:rRNA from 1 species
GAUGAACGCUGGCGGCGUGCCUAAUACAUGCAAGCCGAGCGAACAGAUGAGAAGCUUGCUUCUCUGAUGUUAGCGGCGGACGGGUGAGUAACACGUGGGUAACCUACCUAUAAGACUGGGAUAACUCCGGGAAACCGGGGCUAAUACCGGAUAAUAUUUUGAACCGCAUGGUUCAAUAGUGAAAGACGGUUUCGGCUGUCACUUAUAGAUGGACCCGCGCCGUAUUAGCUAGUUGGUAAGGUAACGGCUUACCAAGGCGACGAUACGUAGCCGACCUGAGAGGGUGAUCGGCCACACUGGAACUGGGACACGGUCCAGACUCCUACGGGAGGCAGCAGUAGGGAAUCUUCCGCAAUGGGCGAAAGCCUGACGGAGCAACGCCGCGUGAGUGAUGAAGGUCUUCGGAUCGUAAAACUCUGUUGUCAGGGAAGAACAAAUUUGUUAGUAACUGAACAAGUCUUGACGGUACCUAACCAGAAAGCCACGGCUAACUACGUGCCAGCCGCCGCGGUAA